rnacentral:rRNA from 1 species
UACGGUAGGGUGCAAGCGUUAAUCGGAAUUACUGGCGUAAAGCGUGCGCAGGCGGUGAUGUAAGACAGGUGUGAAAUCCCCGGGCUUAACCUGGGAACUGCAUUUGUGACUGCAUCGCUGGAGUGCGGCAGAGGGGGAUGGAAUUCCGCGUGUAGCAGUGAAAUGCGUAGAUAUGCGGAGGAACACCGAUGGCGAAGGCAAUCCCCUGGGCCUGCACUGACGCUCAUGCACGAAAGCGUGGGAGCAAACA